rnacentral:rRNA from 1 species
UACGUAGGGGGCAAGCGUUGUCCGGAAUCAUUGGGCGUAAAGGGCGCGUAGGUGGCCCGGUCAGUUCGUGGUGAAAGCGCGGGGCUCAACCCUGCGUCGGCCAUGAAUACUGCCGCGGCUGGAGCACUGUAGAGGCAGGCGGAAUUCCUGGUGUAGCGGUGAAAUGCGCAGAUAUCAGGAGGAACACCGGUGGCGAAGGCGGUUCUCUGGGCAUGUCCUGACGCUGAGGAGCGAAAGUGUGGGGAGCGAACAGG